rfam:Frankia symbiont of Datisca glomerata, complete genome.
CCGGCACCGGUUCACGCCCUCGUUCAGGGGACAGGGCGACCCGGCGGCC